rnacentral:ncRNA from 2 species
GCGCUCACCAAGGGGAGCCCCGACAGGGGGCUGAGAAACUGCCGUGUGAAAGCAGCGCAGUGACCCGUUGAACCUGAUCCAGUUCAUACUGGCGUAGGGACGGUGCGAACGCGGAUC